rnacentral:rRNA from 1 species
GACAGAGGGUGCAAACGUUGCUCGGAAUUACUGGGCGUAAAGCGCGUGUAGGCGGACUGGUGUGUCGGAUGUGAAAUCCCCAGGCUCAACCUGGGAACUGCAUUCGAAACUGCCAGCCUUGAGUGGUGGAGAGGGAAGUGGAAUUCCUGGUGUAGAGGUGAAAUUCGUAGAUAUCAGGAGGAACACCAGUGGCGAAGGCGGCUUCCUGGACACCAACUGACGCUGAGACGCGAAAGCAUGGGGAGCGAACAGG